rnacentral:rRNA from 1 species
GCGAAAUUCCUUGUCGGGUAAGUUCCGACCCGCACGAAAGGCGUAACGAUUUGGGCACUGUCUCAACGAGAGACUCGGUGAAAUCAUAGUACCUGUGAAGAUGCAGGUUACCCGCGACAGGACGGAAAGACCCCGUGGAGCUUUACUGUAGCCUGAUAUUGAAAUUCGGCACAGCUUGUACAGGAUAGGUAGGAGCCUUUGAAACGUGAGCGCUAGCUUACGUGGAGGCGUUGGUGGGAUACUACCCUAGCUGUGUUGGCUUUCUAACCCGCACCACUUAU